UACGGGGGGGGCAAGCGUUGUUCGGAAUUACUGGGCGUAAAGGGCUCGUAGGCGGCCAACUAAGUCAGACGUGAAAUCCCUCGGCUUAACCGGGGAACUGCGUCUGAUACUGGAUGGCUAGAGUUUGGGAGAGGGAUGCGGAAUUCCAGGUGUAGCGGUGAAAUGCGUAGAUAUCUGGAGGAACACCGGUGGCGAAGGCGGCAUCCUGGACCGGCAUUGACGCUGAGGCGCGAAAGCCAGGGGAGCAAACGGG
rnacentral:rRNA from 1 species